rnacentral:rRNA from 1 species
AUUGAACGCUGGCGGCAUGCCUUACACAUGCAAGUCGAACGGCAGCGGACCUUCGGGUGCCGGCGAGUGGCGAACGGGUGAGUAAUAUAUCGGAACGUACCUUUCAGUGGGGGAUAACGUAGCGAAAGUUACGCUAAUACAGCAUAUUCUGUGAGCAGGAAAGCAGGGGAUCGCAAGACCUUGCGCUGAUUGAGCGGCCGAUAUCAGAUUAGCUAGUUGGCGAGGUAAAGGCUCACCAAGGCGACGAUCUGUAGCGGGUCUGAGAGGAUGAUCCGCCACACUGGAACUGAGACACGGUCCAGACUCCUACGGGAGGCAGCAGUGGGGAAUUUUGGACAAUGGGCGCAAGCCUGAUCCAGCCAUGCCGCGUGAGUGAAGAAGGCCUCGGUUGUAAAG